CGGCGAGUGAAGCGGCAAGAGCUCAAAUUUGAAAUCUGGCCUCCUUCGGGGGUCCGAGUUGUAAUUUGUAGAGGAUGCUUCGGGUGUGGCCGCCGUCUAAGUUCCUUGGAACAGGACGUCAGAGAGGGUGAGAAUCCCGUCUUGGGCGGCUGGUCCGCGCCCGUGUGAAGCUCCUUCGACGAGUCGAGUUGUUUGGGAAUGCAGCUCUAAGCGGGUGGUAAAUUUCAUCUAAAGCUAAAUACUGGUCGGAGACCGAUAGCGCACAAGUAGAGUGAUCGAAAGGUUAAAAGCACCUUGAAAAGGGAGUUAAACAGCACGUGAAAUUGUUGAAAGGGAAGCGCUUGCGGCCAGACUCGGGGGCGGGGUUCAGCGGGUGCUCGUCGCCCGUGCACUCCCCGUCUCCCGGGCCAGCAUCAGUUUCGACGGCCGGUCAAAGGCCCCCGGAAUGUGUCGUCUCUCGGGACGUCUUAUAGCCGGGGGUGCAAUGCGGCCCGUUGGGACUGAGGAACGCGCU
rnacentral:rRNA from 1 species